rnacentral:lncRNA from 1 species
GAAUUUGGUGCAAACACCCAGAGGUUCGCACCGCAGCUCUGGAGCUCAGAGCUGGCCGCGCCGCGCUGUCCAGGGAAGCCUGGACAGCGUAGCCAGCUUCCUCCCUGGAAGACCAGGACAAGGGUGCAGGUUCGGAGUCCUUCACAGGAGGCUCGGACAGCAGGAACAUCCCGGGGCAGCAGCAGCAGCCAGAGGAACCCAGCCCGCCAGUCCUUGUCCUUCCGCCUCGGCCACCCGGACACACUGCCCAGGACCUGCCCCACGCCCUCCUCCGGACCUGCCUGGGCUGGACGACUCACUUUCCCAUGGCACACCUUCUACUCCAGCUGGAUGUGGGCAAGAGGGCUGAGGCAGGAGCCACCCAGAUCCCAGCUUGGGUCAGUGUUUGGCUCCUUUGGGGUGCAGACAGCUCCUGGGGUUGCCUGCAGGUCCCCCUGAGGCCUCCAGUCACAUCCACAGGGUCCAGACUUGGCUCAAACCCCUGUGGCCACCCCUGACCUGCUGCGCCUCCUGGGUCACCCCAGCAUCUUGCCCCCCCAACCUCAGUAACUCUGUAUGCAAGGCCUCAGUUUACCCAGGGGCCUGCCAGCUAGUUCUUCUUCCCCUUCACCCCCAUUCCCAUGGGCCAGGCGGAAACGGCUCCCCUCUAGCUCUGUGUCCUUCAGGGCCUGAAAAGUCGCCUCUUCCCAGUAACCAGCCUGGGAGUCAUCGAGGUCCUCAGAGCCCAGGGGUGUCCCUGGGUCACCCCAGCUUGGGCCUAGGCCUGUGCCCAGGAUGCCGAGGGCCACUCCGCUCUCUAACCCUUGGGCUCAGGGACACCCGGCAGGGCUGGCAGUGCUGGGCCUGCUCCCAGGCCUGGCCCGGCUCUUCAAACUUGGCUUCUCUGAGGAAGGGUGCCAGCCCCUCUCCCACGUCAUAGAGCUGGAGCGGGGCAGUCGGGUCAGUGCUGGCUCAGGCAUGGUGGCAGGAAAGGCCCAGAGCCCACGGCCUGUGCCAGGAGGGGGGUCCCUGCGCCCGCAUGUUUACGUGGGCACCCCUUAUCUUAUAUGUAACAGCAAUAUAUAUGUUAAUUGAAAACUUCUGAAUUUAAAAAGGUUGUGAC